CACUCAUCUCUUGAGAUAAUAUAGCAAGUGGUAGUAGCAAGAUAACUUGAGCAUUUAUUUCACAAGGGAAAACAUAAAUAUUUUUGGCUAUUCUCUCCCGGAUUAGGAGUAGAAUAUUUUUGGGUGGUUCUGGAGAUGGAUGUGGAUGGUACUUCCGAAGUAGAAGUAGCAUAUAUGAGUGAACGUGCAAGUGAAUCUUGAUUUAACGACAUGACAAGCUCCUAAGGGUCUACACAGCUUGACUACACUCAAUGCUCAUAAGCAGUAAAUAAUAAAUGUGUGGCUCAAAGUCUAGCAAGCGUGUAUAUAUGGCUGUGGUAGGAAUUUAAACACUCAUCAUACAGGAACUCAUCAUACAAUAUUUUAAAGAUUUUUCAAAGAUAAAAUUCUCUAGAAUUCUAGCAUCUCUAGGAACAGAUAAACAGCAGCUCAACCUUCCCAUAUCAUAUCCGUUAACAACUUAGAUUUC
rnacentral:lncRNA from 1 species